ACCUUAAUUAAUUAUACAUAUAUAUUAAUUUAUAAAUACCGUUUUAUCAUUUAUUAAACUUUAAUACCGUAAUAGGAAAUAGGGUGAGUGAUCCUUACUUGUUUCGAAAUCUGAAAUCGGGUUCUCACUACGCCUACGGGCAGUCUCUAGAUUCCCUAAAUUUUUCUCCAAAAAUUGAAACACAAUUUCGGUACCUGCACAUGUCCCUAAAAAACUCCAAAUCAGACCCAGGGCCCUUUUGGCCAAUUUCAAAAUUUUGGCCGCUGUGCUCCGGCGACGACGCCACCGCCCACGGUGGCAAUCCACCUUGGGUUGGCCGUUUUGGGCUAAAUUCGGCCAAAUUUGCAUUGGUUCCUGUGAUAAAACACCCCCAGGGCCCUCGGUGGGCCAAAAAAUUCCAAAAAACUGAGACUUACCGGCGGCGAAGCUCUCGGGUACGAUGGCUCCUCCGACGCGAGUUACGAUUUGGUGUUUUGCUCUAGUCAACCUGUAGAGAAAAGGACGGUGGUCACAGUGGUAUAAACACUACAUCGA
rnacentral:lncRNA from 1 species